GUCGUGGUUUCAUCCAUAAUUGCUGUCAGUGUUUAUCUGGCAAAAUACUCAGAUGAAGCCUGGAAAGAACAACUUGCAGUAUUUUCCACUUUAUUAAUGUUUCCAGUCAUCAUGGUUUUAUUCCCAGUUGGUCUUGGUGUGUUUCGGAUAAUACGCUUACGAAGAAUGGGAGAAACAGUACAACUUAGAGACAUUCUUAUAAUCAUAGGUCAUUUCCUGU